AUUUUACAUUUGCAUUUCUCAGAAAAAUUCCUCUCAGCAGCGAUCCUCGGCGGUACUCCGCUAAGGUGUCUCUCUCCCCGACUUGAAGUUCAGCAUUACUCUCCCGGCUGAUUUGAUUUUCACUUGUUACUAGCUCUCAGCACAGAUAGUUAAACCCCAGAGUACAUUUGUGGCCAUUGACGAUGGACCUAAGAGCAUUGAAGUGGUAUUUGAUGUUCAAAUGCAGCGAAAGGUGUAUUCUAUUGUAAUUGAACAAAUUGAGAAUAUCUGCAAUGAAAUUAAACAGGCAAUGUAAAAUUAGUUUCAGUUGAUGAUCCAACAUCUGAACAUAACAUGAAGUCUGUCUUAAAUAAACUUGAAAUAUGGUUGAGAGAGAAAGCCUCAUCUAAUCUGCUGGAAGCAAAUCAGAAGAGACUGUUUAAAUUAUUGGACCAGUACCAAGAACUCCUUAAUGGAUACUUCAGUCCAACUGUUUUUAAGAUCCAUGAGAAUGUCAACUUUGAUCCCUGCAUAAUCAACAAGAUAAUUGCCAGCCAUUUUUAUCAGAGAAACCUGUUCAGCAUUGGUGACUGCUUUCAGAAAUGAGGUUAGACAACCUGAAGCCUGAUGAGACGAAAUGUCAAUUUGCACAACUGCAUGAGAUGAUGACAGGGAUGAGGGAGGGGACCUACAUGCAGCGCUGGUGUGGGUUUUUGAUGACUGGUGGAAGGAUCAUCACGUAGAAGGAUUGGGUAUGGGACUAAUAUUUCAUCGACUGCAGGUCUUUGGUAUAUUAGGAAAGGGUGAAAAACAUGUAGCUAGCGGUUAUUCAAGAAAAAUUUCUUGCUCCUAUUGCCUGUUCAGAACCUAAACAUGCACCCGAAAUUUUUAAAGAUCAGGCUGUCUUGCCGCAUUGGCUAGGGAAAACUUGGACGAGUCACGAAUUCUGAAUUAUUUUUGCUGACAUCUGAGGAUAUAGUAUGACAGUACUUCAAUCUUCUGGAGCAGUCUCCUUUCAGUCCACUGUUUUGAUGGCAAUAGUAGCUGGAGCUCAGGCAUUGCCGACCUUAUUUAAUGUGAAGAUGGGGAAUCAGCUGCCUGUGGCAUCGUGGCGGUGGAAAUGGACACAGGAUCCCAGUUCCAUGCCAUCUUUAUUUUGGCCAUUGUGCCUGGAGCAGACUAGUGAAAGGGAACCCACCAAUGAGGCUGCCCUAAGGACAUGUCAUCUGCAGGCAAUGCCUAGUGUUGAGCAGAAACUUGAAAUGUUUCGAAUGUCCGGCCUGUAAAAUUUGUUUUCCACUCCAUGAUACCCCGUUAGUGCAUUUCUAACAUCUACUUUGGGAGCAUAGAGUUUAGAUCCGUUACUUGAAUUUAUAUAGAUUUAACUAAACAUAUUAUAAAAUUAUAUAUUGAAUUUUUUUCAAAUCCACACAA